UGCCUAAGGUAUGCAAGUCGAACGAUUCCUGUAUCUUCGGAUACAGGGAGUGGCAAACGGCUGAGUAACGCGUAGGAACCUACCCCAAACUCGAGUAUAGCCCCGCGAAAGCGGGGGUAAUCCUCGAUAGCCCGUGAAGUAUUUUACUUCACGGUAAAGCUUUUGCGGUUUGGGAUGGGCCUGCGUCCUAUCGGGUAGUUGGUGAGGUAAAUGCUCACCAAGCCUAUGACGGGUAGCUGGUCUGAGAGGAUGGUCAGCCAGACUGGGACUGCGACACGGCCCAGACUCCUACGGGAGGCAGCAACUAGGAAUUGUGCGCAAUGGACGAAAGUCUGACGCCGCGACAUCGCGUGGAGGAUGAAGGUCUUCGGAUUGUAAGCUCCUUUUCUUACCGAACAAGUUCUGAGUGUAGGUAAGGAAUAAGUGCCUGCUAACCACGUGCCAGAAGCAUCGGUAAUACGUGGGGCACAAGCGUUAUCCGGAUUUACUGGGCGUAAAGAGAAGCGUAGGCGGCUCGAUAAGUUUGGUGUUAAAUCUUCCGGCUCAACCGGAAACAAGCACCGAAAACUAUCGAGAUUGAGUCGAGUAGGGAAGAGGGGAAUUCCUGGUGGAGCGGUUAAAUGCGUAGAUAUCAGGAGGAAUACCAAGGGCGAAGGCACCUCUUUGGACUCGUACUGACGCUGAGGCUCGAAAGCGUGGGUAGCAAAACGGAUUAGAUACCCGUGUAGUCCACGCCGUAAACGAUCCCUGUUAGAUGU
rnacentral:rRNA from 1 species